rnacentral:rRNA from 1 species
GCUUAACACAUGCAAGUCGAGGGGCAGCAUGGUCUUAGCUUGCUAAGGCCGAUGGCGACCGGCGCACGGGUGAGUAACACGUAUCCAACCUGCCGUCUACUCUUGGACAGCCUUCUGAAAGGAAGAUUAAUACAAGAUGGCAUCAUGAGUCCGCAUGUUCACAUGAUUAAAGGUAUUCCGGUAGACGAUGGGGAUGCGUUCCAUUAGAUAGUAGGCGGGGUAACGGCCCACCUAGUCUUCGAUGGAUAGGGGUUCUGAGAGGAAGGUCCCCCACAUUGGAACUGAGACACGGUCCAAACUCCUACGGGAGGCAGCAGUGAGGAAUAUUGGUCAAUGGGCGAGAGCCUGAACCAGCCAAGUAGCGUGAAGGAUGACUGCCCUAUGGGUUGUAAACUUCUUUUAUAAAGGAAUAAAGUCGGGUAUGGAUACCCGUUUGCAUGUACUUUAUGAAUAAGGAUCGGCUAACUCCGUGCCAGCAGCCGCGGUAAUACGGAGGAUCCGAGCGUUAUCCGGAUUUAUUGGGUUUAAAGGGAGCGUAGAUGGAUGUUUAAGUCAGUUGUGAAAGUUUGCGGCUCAACCGUAAAAUUGCAGUUGAUACUGGAUAUCUUGAGUGCAGUUGAGGCAGGCGGAAUUCGUGGUGUAGCGGUGAAAUGCUUAGAUAUCACGAAGAACUCCGAUUGCGAAGGCAGCCUGCUAAGCUGCAACUGACAUUGAGGCUCGAAAGUGUGGGUAUCAAACAGGAUUAGAUACCCUGGUAGUCCACACGGUAAACGAUGAAUACUCGCUGUUUGCGAUAUACUGCAAGCGGCCAAGCGAAAGCGUUAAGUAUUCCACCUGGGGAGUACGCCGGCAACGGUGAAACUCAAAGGAAUUGACGGGGGCCCGCACAAGCGGAGGAACAUGUGGUUUAAUUCGAUGAUACGCGAGGAACCUUACCCGGGCUUAAAUUGCAGAUGAAUUACGGUGAAAGCCGUAAGCCGCAAGGCAUCUGUGAAGGUGCUGCAUGGUUGUCGUCAGCUCGUGCCGUGAGGUGUCGGCUUAAGUGUCAUAACGAGCGCAACCCUUGUUGUCAGUUACUAACAGGUUCCGCUGAGGACUCUGACAAGACUGCCAUCGUAAGAUGUGAGGAAGGUGGGGAUGACGUCAAAUCAGCACGGCCCUUACGUCCGGGGCUACACACGUGUUACAAUGGGGGGUACAGAGGGCCGCUACCACGCGAGUGGAUGCCAAUCCCCAAAACCUCUCUCAGUUCGGACUGGAGUCUGCAACCCGACUCCACGAAGCUGGAUUCGCUAGUAAUCGCGCAUCAGCCACGGCGCGGUGAAUACGUUCCCGGGCCUUGUACACACCGCCCGUCAAGCCAUGGGAGCCGGGGGUACCUGAAGUGCGUAACCGCGAGGAGCGCCCUAGGGUAAAACUGGUGACUGGGGCU